rnacentral:rRNA from 1 species
AUGAGACGGCUGAGAGAGCAGCACCGGAUUGCGGCCGAAAGCGACUCGCCGUCUGAGGCAUUGACGAGGCCCAAGUGGGACACUCCAUUCAACCGGGCGUUGAACAUAUUGAAACGACAACCGGUGGAUACUCAACCGUCAUAUGGACGCGUGCACGGUGUCGGAGACGGCGCCACGUGGAAGAAGUACUACCUUGAGACCACGGAGGAGAGAAAGGAAAGAGGGAGGUUAACUAAAGAAAACAUCGACAAGAAGUUUGAGAUUGCGGUUGAGAAGAAAUCAUCUCAGAUAAUCACAACAACGGUAGCUGCCGCAAAACAGGUGGUUGCAGAUUUGUCUACUUCCUUGGUGAUGGGCGUUUUCACUUGGACAAGGCAAAAUCUAGAAAAAAAUGCAGAGGACUUUCCCCUUGCUGACUUCUUGGGGAGCAGCUCGACUAGCGUUGCACCAGCACCUGCUCCCGCACCGGCUCCUGCACCGGACGUGCUCGGUGGUGCUUCAUCUUUGGCUGAGCUCGACGCCCUCACGGCCGACGAAACCCCGUACACCAUAUUGUACAUCAUCGGCGACCAGAAGGUGGACGUGGGGAAGGCGACGAUAAUGGAGCCGAAGGAACCAUUGUUCCACAGCCGGCCGAUCCCCCCGAAUGUCUUCAAGGUUUCCGUGGCCAGUGUCAAACCGGGCCACGAGAAUUUGCCUCCUCCAAUACUAGUGGGGGAUGACGACGAGACACCGCGUCGGCUUGGUGAUUGUUGCAAUGGGUGGGUCCUGUUGUGGCCAAAGAGUCUGCCUCGUCUGGAGGCGGCCGGGAGCACACCCACGAGCACGCAGCCUCAGCAAGGUAUGAACAUCAACACCCCACCUACCCAAUUAGCGUCGGGUGUCAGGUUGGGUGAUAGCGGACGAGGUAAGGAGGAGGCUCCAUUAGUCGCUGAUGACAUCGCCAUGGAUGAGGAUGAGGAUGACGAUGGCGCUGAAUAG